rnacentral:rRNA from 1 species
AGAGUUUGAUCAUGGCUCAGAAUGAACGUUGGCGGCGUGGAUUAGGCAUGCAAGUCGAGCGAGAACCCGCAAGGGGGACAGCGGCAAACGGGGUAGUAACGGGUAGGUGACGUACCCUCGGGUCGAGGAUAGCCACGGGAAACUGUGGGUAAUACUCGAUAAUCUCCUGGAGCGUGAUAGUUUCGGGAGCAAAGGUGUGAUUCCACCUGGGGAGCGGCCUGCUUCGUAUUAGCUAGUUGGUGAGGUAACGGCUCACCAAGGCGACGAUGCGUAGGGGGUGUGAGAGCAUGACCCCCACCACUGGGACUGAGAUACUGCCCAGACACCUACGGGUGGCUGCAGUCGAGAAUCUUCGGCAAUGGGCGCAAGCCUGACCGAGCGACGCCGCGUGUGGGAUGAAGGCCCUUGGGUUGUAAACCACUGUCAGAGGGGAUGAAGUUCAUGAGGGCAAUCUCUCAUGAUUGACAUAGCCUCAGAGGAAGCACGGGCUAAGUUCGUGCCAGCAGCCGCGGUAAUACGAACUGUGCAAACGUUAUUCGGAAUCACUGGGCUUACAGGGUGCGUAGGCGGCUUGUUAAGUAGGGUGUGAAAGCCCCCGGCUCAACCGGGGAAUGGCGCCCUAAACUGGCGAGCUAGAGUGAGAUAGGGGUGUGUGGAACUUCCGGUGGAGCGGUGAAAUGUGUUGAUAUCGGAAGGAACGCCGGUGGCGAAAGCGACACACUGGAUCUUGUCUGACGCUGAGGCACGAAAGCCAGGGGAGCGAACGGGAUUAGAUACCCCAGUAGUCC